UGGGACGUCGGCAAGCGGUCAAGCCACCGGGUUUUGAUCCCGGCAUUCGGAGGUUCGAAUCCUCCCGUCCCAG
rnacentral:tRNA from 1 species